rnacentral:rRNA from 1 species
GGGCCCGCACAAGCGGUGGAGUAUGUGGUUUAAUUCGAUGCAACGCGAAGAACCUUACCAGGGUUUGACAUCCUGCGAAUCUCUUGGAAACGAGAGAGUGCCUUCGGGAACGCAGUGACAGGUGGUGCAUGGCUGUCGUCAGCUCGUGUCGUGAGAUGUUGGGUUAAGUCCCGCAACGAGCGCAACCCACGUCGUUAGUUGCCAGCAUUUAGUUGGGCACUCUAGCGAGACCGCCGGUGAUAAACCGGAGGAAGGUGUGGAUGACGUCAAGUCAUCAUGCCCCUUACAUCCUGGGCUACACACGUACUACAAUGGGGGCGUACAAAGGGUUGCAAUCCCGCGAGGGGGAG